rnacentral:rRNA from 1 species
CCUACGGGAGGCAGCAGUGGGGAAUUUUGGACAAUGGACGCAAGUCUGAUCCAGCCAUGCCGCGUGCGGGAAGAAGGCCUUCGGGUUGUAAACCGCUUUUGUCAGGGAAGAAACGGCUCUGGUUAAUACCUGGGGCUAAUGACGGUACCUGAAGAAUAAGCACCGGCUAACUACGUGCCAGCAGCCGCGGUAAUACGUAGGGUGCAAGCGUUAAUCGGAAUUACUGGGCGUAAAGCGUGCGCAGGCGGUUAUGCAAGACAGAUGUGAAAUCCCCGGGCUCAACCUGGGAACUGCAUUUGUGACUGCAUAGCUAGAGUACGGUAGAGGGGGAUGGAAUUCCGCGUGUAGCAGUGAAAUGCGUAGAUAUGCGGAGGAACACCGAUGGCGAAGGCAAUCCCCUGGACCUGUACUGACGCUCAUGCACGAAAGCGUGGGGAGCAAACAGGAUUAGAUACCCUGGUAGUCCACGCCCUAAACGAUGUCAACUGGUUGUUGGGAGGGUUUCUUCUCAGUAACGAAGCUAACGCGUGAAGUUGACCGCCUGGGGAGUACGGCCGCAAGGUUGAAACUUAAAUGAAAUUGACGG